AUGCAAUCAGUCCGCUCUCUCUUCUCCCAAAGAAAGGGCUCAGCUGCUUGGCCUCACCAUCCACCCUUCCUCUACCCCCACCCCCAGUCCUACCCGCACUAUCGCCUUUGCCAGAAAAGGGGAGAAGUCUUUUGGGGGGGCUGUUUCAUCACUACCACAACACACACACACACACACACACACACACACACACACACACACACACACACAGACACUCUGUGCCCAAGCUCUGGGUGCCCACACCCGUCUUGCAUGAGAGGAGCAAGGAGAGGUGGCAGAGCUAUCGUGCAGAAGGAGCAGCAAUUAUAUAACUCGCGUUUGGGUUCUCCUGGAAGAUGGAAGAAGGGCGACAGGAUGACAGCACAUACAUAUAUUCAGUCAGAUUCUUCCCCAGAAGUAACGCAAGGAAGAUUAAAAACUGCUGACAUUGUGGAAAAAAAUUUAUGGCGUCUCACAAGAAGUGAUCAGUAAGAGUUCAUUGCCUAUAGAAUUCCCCCUUACCAAAUAUUUUAUGGGUGUUUAUCUGAUUUGUAGCACUUUCCACCUUUUUUUUUUUUGCUUCUAAAAACAUAAGAAGAUCUUUAUUAACUAUUUGAUAUGGCCCAGGAAAAAACAGGGUGUUGGUCAUAGGGAAAGAUAACACAGUGCUUCUCUAAUGGCCAAGCAGAGAUUUCUUUUUUUGCUCAUUACUUCAAAUUAAUAAUUAGAGAAGUUCUUAAUCUUUAGAGUCAUAAAGGACCUUAGAGAUUUUCUGAGGGGGAGCUGCAUAUUUCAAAUGAAAAAUGUAACACCUAAGAAACAACUGAGGUGCAUACCUGAGCCUCUUGCUUCAAAUCAGUGUUCUCUCUACUCUGCCAUGCUGCCUCUUCAUUAUAGCUCAGAAUCAUUUACCUAUUCAGAAUUGAAUAUGCCACCAAGAGGGCAUAUAAUAAUUGCUGUUGUUAUUGUUAUGUAUUUUACAUUUGUAUUAUAUGGUUUGUGUGUUGUGUCAUAAUAAUAACCAGCAGUUGUUAUUUGAAAGCUUUCUACAUUAUUAAUUUAUUUUAUCCUCAAAACAUAUAUAUAUGAGGUUAAUUGCUAUAAUUAUUUAUUUUAUAAAUAGAGAAUCUAAGGUAGGCAGAGGUUAAGUGAUUCAUCAAUGCCCUGCUAGUAAAGGUCUGAGGCCAUAUUUGAAUUCAGGUCUUCAUGACUUAAGGACCAGUGCUUAUUCACUGCACUACUGGCCACACCUUUUCUCCUGAACAACAAUUAACUGUUUCCUGUGUUCUGUGAUAAGUACUUGGAAUAGACUUAAUAUAAAAGUAAACAAAAUGAUCUCUUCCUUUUGGGAGCUGAAAUUCUAUUGGGAAGAAGACAGUAUUUCCUAGGGGGGUUUCAAAGAACCUGGGGGCUGUGGUGUGGCCUGGAGGUCACUGCUCAUCUAUAGGAGGUAGGGAGACAGUCCCAGCUUCUACUGAGAUGGAAUUGGUCAUCGAUGUCAGGAGCCUGUGGCCACCAAGUCCAUGUCUUAAUCAUUCUAGGAGCACCAAUCCGUGGUAUCAGGCCUUGGGUUUAGUAGACGCUUAAUAAUCUUUUUCGAAUGACCUUGAAUUCCAUGGUAAAAGACUACAGUCACUGAUUCCCUACAAAUCGUUUCAUUUCCUAGGCUAACAAAACUCAGGAUGGAAUCACAGAUCAGUUAAAAACUGGCCUUGUGCCCUUGCCAAGACCAGAAUAGGCAUGUGGCAGAAUUUGGAAAUAGGCAGUCUUUGGUGCUUUAUCAGCUCUAGUAGUUUUAGGAGAAAAUGAAAUAGAUCUCUGUUUGUCUGGUUUAUUUGGUCUGGCAGUCUUGAACCACAUUUUCUUAAGUAUAUCUAAGCUAAUCAAGAAGCAGUGAUUAGGGUUCAGGGGAUGUUUUUGUAAUUUUGUCCUUGCUCCACUUUCACAGCCAGGCAGUUAGGUGGCACAUUGGAUAGAGCACUGGGCUUAGACCCAGGCAUGAGUUCAAGUCCAGCCUCAGACACUUAAUAGCUAUGUGACUUAACCCAGUUUGCUUCAGUUUUUCAUCCAUAAAAUGAGCUGGAGAAAGAAAUGGCAAACCAGUCUAGUAUCUCUGCCAAGAAAACCCCAAAUAGGGUCACAAAGAGUUGGACAAGAGAAAAAAAUGACUAAAAAUAGUCUCUUAGUAAAUAUCCAUUUGCAAAAGCUUUUUUCCAAAAAGCAGUUAGGCAAACUGAAGAAAGCAACGCCAGUUAUAAUUAUUACAAUAAACAGCCUAGUUCUCAAGAAUUAAAGAAAACU
ensembl:lncRNA